rnacentral:rRNA from 1 species
UAUGUGAUCGUCUCUCGCAUAUCAAUAAGCGGAGGAAAAGAAACUAACAAGGAUUCCCCUAGUAACGGCGAGUGAAGCGGGAAGAGCUCAAAUUUGAAAUCUUAAAGGGUUUCCCUUUACGAAUUGUAGUUUAAAGAAGUGUUUUCUGUUGAGGUUUUGGUAAAAGUUCUUUGGAAUAGGACAUCAUAGAGGGUGAGAAUCCCGUAUUUGACCUUUACUUUCAACUUUGUGAUACACUUUCAAAGAGUCGGAUUGUUUGGGAAUGCAGUCCAAAAUGGGUGGUAAAUUUCAUCUAAAGCUAAAUAUUGGCGAGAGACCGAUAGCGAACAAGUACCGUGAGGGAAAGAUGAAAAGAACUUUGAAAAGAGAGUUAAACAGUACGUGAAAUUGUCAAAAGGGAAGCGUUUGACACCAGUGUUGUUUUUCUGAAAAUCAAUUAAAGAACUGUUUAUGCUAAGUUGUUUAGACUUUAUCAGCUAUCUGUUUAGUUUGGAGCUUUUCUUUAAUGCACUUUUCAGUUAACAAGUCAACAUCAAUUUCUUUUGCUGUAAAAAAGCUUGAGGAAGGUGGCUUGAGAUUCGUCUUAAGUGUCUAUAGCCUCUUGCCUAUGCAGUCGGAGAGAUUGAGGUCUGCAGCGUAGAUCCUUCGGGGCUAAAUGCAUUUGUGCUAAGGUUAUAGCAUUUUAUAGACAACUUGUUGACUAUGAUUUGUCUUGUAGCUUACUCGCUUAUGUUAUUUUACCUACGCUUAGGAUGUUGAGCGCAUGUCUCUCUCU